rnacentral:rRNA from 1 species
GACGAACGCUGGCGGCGUGCUUACACAUGCAAGUCGAACGGAAAGGCCCUGCUUGCAGGGUACUCGAGUGGCGAACGGGUGAGUAACACGUGGGUGAUCUGCCCUGCACUUCGGGAUAAGCCUGGGAAACUGGGUCUAAUACCGGAUAGGAGCCAUUUUUAGUGUGAUGGUUGGAAAGUUUUUUCGGUGUAGGAUGAGCUCGCGGCCUAUCAGCUUGUUGGUGGGGUAAUGGCCUACCAAGGCGGCGACGGGUAGCCGGCCUGAGAGGGUGGACGGCCACAUUGGGACUGAGAUACGGCCCAGACUCCUACGGGAGGCAGCAGUGGGGAAUAUUGCACAAUGGGCGCAAGCCUGAUGCAGCGACGCCGCGUGGGGGAUGACGGCCUUCGGGUUGUAAACUCCUUUCGCUAGGGACGAAGCUUUUUGUGACGGUACCUAGAUAAGAAGCACCGGCUAACUACGUG